GUGGGUUUGUGGUUCAGUGGUAGAGCGCUUGCCUCAUAUGCAUAAGGCUCUGGGUUCAAUCCCCAGCAUCACA
rnacentral:tRNA from 1 species